rnacentral:rRNA from 1 species
CUGGUUGAUCCUGCCAGUAGUCAUAUGCUUGUCUCAAAGAUUAAGCCAUGCAUGUGUAAGUAUAAGUAUUGUACAGCGAAACUGCGAAUGGCUCAUUAAAACAGUUAUAGUUUAUUUGAUAAUCGAAGGUUACAUGGAUAACCGUGACAAAUUACAGCUAAUACAUGCAUCAAGACCUCUAUGAGGUUGUAAUUAUUAGUACUAAACCAAUUGCUUCGGCGAUGUGAUGAAUCAUAGUAAUCGAACGAAUCGCAGAAUUCUGCGAUAAAUCAUUCARGUUUCUGCCCUAUCAGCUUUGGAUGGUAGUGUAUUGGACUACCAUGGCAAUCACGGGUAACGGAGAAUUAGGGUUCGAUUCCGGAGAGGGAGCCUGAGAAACGGCUACCACAUCUACGGAAGGCAGCAGGCGCGAAAAUUGCCCAAUCCUGAUUCAGGGAGGCAGUGACAAAGAAAUAACAACUUUCAACUUUGUUGAAAAGUGUAAUGAGGAUAAUUUACAAACCUUACCGAAAGCAAUUGGAGGGCAAGUCUGGU